rnacentral:rRNA from 1 species
UACGAAGGGGGCUAGCGUUGUUCGGAAUUACUGGGCGUAAAGCGCGUGUAGGCGGGUCUUUAAGUCAGGGGUGAAAUGCCAGGGCUCAACCUUGGAACUGCCUUUGAUACUGGAGACCUUGAGUCCGGGAGAGGUGAGUGGAAUUGCGAGUGUAGAGGUGAAAUUCGUAGAUAUUCGCAAGAACACCAGUGGCGAAGGCGGCUCACUGGCCCGGAACUGACGCUGAGACGCGAAAGCGUGGGGAGCACACAGG